rnacentral:lncRNA from 1 species
GCUGAUGGUAGGCCACAGCGGACAAGCUCAGACUAUUGGCGGACCUUAGAGGCUCCGGGUUAACGGGCAGAUAGAUCGUCCUUUGGGAGGAGCUCUGGCUGUCUCGUGACGCAGCGUGGCAAGAUUUCCUUCAAGAAACAAAGGCUCCACUGGCUACUAACAAAAUAACCGUCCUUCCUCAGCCUGCUUUUCUCUGUCAAUAUUGCCUCUGUCCAAAUCUGGAUAGACUCCAAACCUACGACUUGUGCUAACAACCUCAAGAGAUGGGAGCUAUCCAACCAUGGCAGAUUCUGAGGUGGAGCUCUCUCCAAUAGGACGAGACACAGUCAUCACCUAUGUUAGAAUAACAACUGAACUUCCUGCCCUAGUGUGCUUGCAAGGUCAGUUGGCUUAUGGCACACAUUUUUUAUUAAAAAAAAAAAAAAAAA